GGAGCAGGUCGGGUAGCCGCGGGCGUACACCGCGGGUGCACACGCGGUCAGGCGCUCGAGGAAAGUCCGGGCUCCACAGGGCAGGGUGCUGGGUAAUCCCCAGCGGGGGCGACCCCAGGGAAAGUGCCACAGAGAGAUACCGCUGCAGGCGGCUCCGUCAGCGUCUGCAGUAAGGGUGCAAAGGCCGGGUAAGAGCCGGCCGGCAGCCUGGCGACAGGCUGGCCAGGCAAACCCCACCCGGAGCAAGGCCAGGUAGGGGGAGAUGAGGUGGCCCGCCGACUCCCCGGGUAGGCCGCAUCAGGCCUCAGGCAACUGAGGUCGCAGAGAGAUGGCUGCCCCGGACCGAUCGCGGUCCGGACAGAACCCGGCUUACAGACCUGCUCCGCUU
rnacentral:RNase_P_RNA from 2 species